rnacentral:rRNA from 1 species
UAACUACCCAUCAGAGGGGAUAACACUUGGAAACAGGUGCUAAUACCGCAUAACAGUUUAUGCCGCAUGGCAUAAGAGUGAAAGGCGCUUUCGGGUGUCGCUGAUGGAUGGACCCGCGGUGCAUUAGCUAGUUGGUGAGGUAACGGCUCACCAAGGCCACGAUGCAUAGCCGACCUGAGAGGGUGAUCGGCCACACUGGGACUGAGACACGGCCCAG